rnacentral:rRNA from 1 species
GACGAACGCUGGCGGCGUGCCUAAUACAUGCAAGUCGAACGCAUUUUCUUUCACCGUAGCUUGCUACACCGAAAGAAAAUGAGUGGCGAACGGGUGAGUAACACGUGGGUAACCUGCCCAUCAGCGGGGGAUAACACUUGGAAACAGGUGCUAAUACCGCAUAAUUCCAUUUACCGCAUGGUAAAUGGAUGAAAGGCGCUUUUGCGUCACUGAUGGAUGGACCCGCGGUGCAUUAGCUAGUUGGUGGGGUAACGGCCUACCAAGGCUGCGAUGCAUAGCCGACCUGAGAGGGUGAUCGGCCACGCUGGGACUGAGACACGGCCCAGACUCCUACGGGAGGCAGCAGUAGGGAAUCUUCGGCAAUGGACGCAAGUCUGACCGAGCAACGCCGCGUGAGUGAAGAAGGUUUUCGGAUCGUAAAACUCUGUUGUUAGAGAAGAACAAGGAUGAGAGUGGAAAGUUCAUCCCUUGACGGUAUCUAACCAGAAAGCCACGGCUAACUACGUG